rnacentral:misc_RNA from 1 species
GAUGAAGAACGCAGUGAAAUGCGAUAAGUAAUGUGAAUUGCAGAAUUCAGUGAAUCAUCGAAUCUUUGAACGCAUCUUGCGCUCCUUGGUAUUCUGAGGAGCAUGCCUGUUUGAGUGUCAUUAAAUUCUCAACUACACUGACUUUGAAUUGGUGUGGCUUGGAUUUGGGGGGAAAAUUGUUGUGGGCUUUUUGUAUAGUCUGCUCCCCUGAAAUUGAUUAGCGGUACCUUUGUGGAACUGUCUACAGGUGUGAUAAUUAUCUACAUCUUAGACAUCUGCUGGAAUGCUGCUUUCUAAACCUUACUUGUAUUGACAAUCUUGACCUCAAAGCAGGUAGGACUACCCGCUGAACUUAAGCAUAUCAAUAAGCGGAGGA